rnacentral:tRNA from 1 species
GCACCUAGUUUACACCUAGAAGAUUUCACAUUAAAUGACCACUUUG